CCGUUCAAACUUGUUCGCUCAGUUGCUGGAGCUGACGCUCGCUUGUGUAGCGUUUCGAAGUUUAGUAAGUUUAUUUCUUGUCCAGCGUCGUGCGUAUGUUUUCUUGCAAUCUGUCGGUCAACUGGACAGUUCCGGCAUCCUGUCCAAUACGCAAUGAGCGAUAUCGUUAAGCGUGACAACAAGCGCUGCUGUAGCGGGGAGGCAACGUCCCUUAUUUGUUCUCUGUACUUCAGGUUUCAGGGGUGAGUUUGCUUUCUUUCUUGUCCUCUGCUUUCAGAUUUGUGCCUGCUUGUGUUCACAAUCGCAUGCAUGCGAUAGAGCUCUGGAGCACAGCAGCUGAAAAUGGUUUUCUUUCUCUGCAGAAUGAUGUUGCGAAUGAGUGACGAGCACAAUGGAGAUGUGGGACUGACCUAAAUGUAUUAACAAGAUUGUCGUUUGGUUACGUUCGAUGCUGUCUGUUCAGUGUACUGGCGACGAACAAUAUGGAGAUAUGGGACUGACGUGCUGGCAGAGUCAUGGAAUGAAGGUCACGAUUACUACGCCUGGCCUGAAAGCCAUUUGUUGGCACUUCAGCUGGGCUGGAGCUACGAUCACAUUUUAGUGAAAUAUGGGUGCAGUGACCAUUUUGCCACGGGCAGCAUGUUUAUGAUAGUUGCAUCUUUUUAAACAGUGCGUGUUCCAGGCUCAUGGAAUGGAGGUGACGAAUACAACGGCUGUCCUGUGGGUCAUUUGUUGGCACUUCGGCUUAGCUGCAGCAACGAUCCUAUUUCAGUGUACCUCGGAAACGUUCCUUCCUGCUACCCACAGCCGUCUACCACCCCACACGUGUGUAAAGUACUGGUUGCAUUUGGAGCACCCAAGCACGGACCCAGAGACAGAGGCAAUACUUACAGCUACCAGUGAUAUAAGUGCUGCGAUUUGUGUACAUGUACAUUACUAUCUGCUUUGGAAGAGUACCAAGAUUUGCUGGUAUGUGACUGUGCAAUAAGGGGAAGUGCUCACAAUGUCUGCUGACUUGUCGACAUGUUUGGAAGUCAGUGUUUGCCCGGUAUGUUCAUAGAAAUAAAUCUUGUACCAACA